rnacentral:rRNA from 1 species
ACGGCCAUACGAUACUGAAUAUACCGGUUCUCGUUAGAUCACCGAAGUCAAGCAUCAUUGGGCGCGGUCAGUACUUGGGUGGGUGACCACCUGGGAACACCGCAAGCCGU